rnacentral:pre_miRNA from 1 species
UUGCAAUUGAAAAGGCUCAUACAAAUAUUCCUUGUAGUAAAAGAGAUGUCCUCUAUUCUUGGCUUCCAAAUGGAAUAAUUGGAUGUAGUCAAUUUGAACAUUGUUGCUA